rnacentral:rRNA from 1 species
AUUGAACGCUGGCGGCAUGCCUUACACAUGCAAGUCGAACGGUAACGCGGGGCAACCUGGCGACGAGUGGCGAACGGGUGAGUAAUGCAUCAGAACGUGCCCAGUAGUGGGGGGAUAGCCCGGCGAAAGCCGGAUUAAUACCGCAUACGACCUACGGGUGAAAGCGGGGGACUCGCAAGAGCCUCGCGCUAUUGGAGCGGCCGAUGUCAGAUUAGGUAGUUGGUGGGGUAAAAGCCUACCAAGCCGACGAUCUGUAGCUGGUCUGAGAGGACGACCAGCCACACUGGGACUGAGACACGGCCCAGACUCCUACGGGAGGCAGCAGUGGGGAAUUUUGGACAAUGGGCGCAAGCCUGAUCCAGCCAUGCCGCGUGCGGGAAG